CGCGAAGAAGUACAACAAAGGGCCAACGGGGAGGUCCAACGGUCCGACCCCAGCCGGACUCGAGCUCACUCGGUUGCAGGCGUUAGGCUCCCAGCGGCUCUCAGCCGUUAAGUGGAGAAUGUUCAGGACUGUCGAGGCGCGCUCCGCACCUGGCCUGAAAGCGGGAGAUUUGGCAACCAGUGCGCGUGGGUGCGCCGGCCCUUGCAGCUGGGGACUCUGGAGGCAGACCUUGCCCAAAGCCAGAGGCAGGAACUCCCCAGAUCCUCCCAGGGUAGCAUGGGAGGAUGCCGCCUCCUCCAGGAAGCUCUCUAGCGCUUUUCCGAGUCCUGGAGCCAGGCGGGACUUCUCUGUGGUCGCCUAGAAGGAGACCAACAAUUGUCAGCACAGCAAAACUGGGCAUUUCUUUUCUUACUGAGCUUUGCAGCUACCUACACAGUUGUGUGUGGCAUCUCCUCCUGGGUGCAAGGACAUGAGAUGACAUCAGGGUCUUGCUGUGUCAUCCAGGCUGGAGUGCAGUGAUAUGAG
rnacentral:lncRNA from 1 species